GUAGGGCUCAAAUCCCCGACGUUUCCAGGGCCACCCCCCAUACGAUUGACGAGAUGCCUGAGGCUGCCGUGAAAUCAACAGCCAACAAAUACCAAGUCUUUUUUUUCGGGACCCACGAGACGGCAUUCCUGGGCCCCAAAGACCUCUUCCCUUACGAGGAAUCCAAGGAGAAGUUUGGCAAGCCCAACAAGAGGAAAGGGUUCAGCGAGGGGCUGUGGGAGAUCGAGAACAACCCUACUGUCAAGGCUUCCGGCUAUCAGCCCUCCCCCCUCCUGCACAGAGCCCUGCCUGCCCGGCCAGUGGGUUUACCCCGGGGCUAAUCCGACAGAGUCCUCCCAGAAAAAGAGCUGUGUGGAAGAGCCUGAACCCGAGCCCGAAGCUGCAGAGGGUGACGGUGAUAAGAAGGGGAAUGCAGAGGGCAGCAGCGACGAGGAAGGGAAGCUGGUCAUUGAUGAGCCAGCCAAGGAGAAGAACGAGAAAGGAGCGCUGAAGAGGAGAGCAGGGGACUUGCUGGAGGACUCUCCUAAACGUCCCAAGGAGGCAGAAAACCCUGAAGGAGAGGAGAAGGAGGCAGCCACCUUGGAGGGGGAGA
rnacentral:sRNA from 1 species